CAAAGAAAUUCAGCCUAACGUUCAAAGAUUAAAAGUCAAAUUACAAUGCCCAAGCUAAUGCCAUAAGGAACUAACACUCUCCGGUGCCUGGUUAUUAAGAGAAUACAGUGAUCCUAGUUGCUCCCAGCCCCAUUCAGUCCUGCCACAUACACGGCAAAACCAGCAACCAUCAGUCUCUUCCAGAAACAGGAAGCGACAGAUCUGAGAAUAUUGUGGCUUUUAAGCUUUUCUUGGGGAUCUAGGGUCCUGUAGACUCACUGGCUAUCUAAAAGAAAGAGACAGAACCUAUAGCAAAUCUUGUCAGCCACACUAGGGGAUGGGGAUCCUGGGGAGGAGAAAGCAUUCUCUCAUUAAACAAAUAAUUAUGCCUCCCUUUAACACUUCUGCCUACCUAGGUGGGGUUCCACCUUCCUGAAGAAGUGGGCUUGCACCUAAGCCAGAAAACAGCGUCCCUAAUGACUGCCACAAAGCCCUCAUCAAGGUUACUCCACAGAUGGUAAUCUCUGAUGGGUCAAUACUUUUAGUACUUAAUGAGAGGAUUAGAAAUACAAACAAGGAGAGUAAGGAAGCCAGAGGUUAUCAGCAAUGGGAAACAGUUGGUGGUGCUGGAGCUGAAGAAGCAAAGGAGAACAGAGAAGGCAGGGCCUGGAAGGGUGUUGGGCCUGGAGCCUCAGUUCUCUGUGUCUUGCUGUAAAGGGCUUAGCACUGCCAGAGAUGCUGUUGCUCAGGGAACCAGUGAGGAAAGGCAGCAUGGGUCCCUCCCCCUCCUUCUGUACCUCCUAUAAGCUAAUUAAACCAGGAGGCAUCCAGCAAUGGAGCCACUGAAGACAGAGACGAUCCUCAGUCCUCUAGAAGGAUCCGAGGGGAGGGUAAAUCUGAAACAGAUCAGCAAGGUAGGCCAGAGACUUGUAUAAAGAGAGUAAUUGGUAACACACCAAUAAUCAAAGAGGUACAACUGAGAAAUAUCUAACUAGCCUUGGGAGGGAAAAUGUUUUGGUAUAGGAAUUCUAUAUUCAAUUAAACUGGUAUAUGUGCAAAUGAAAUAAAAACAGUAACAUUGUCAAGGCCAGGCCUCAGCUAGCAGUCUUCUGGAGAAUUCAGGAGUACAAGACAGAGUCCUUUACUCUGCUCCCUGACUUACAAUCAUGCUAAAAAAAAAAAAAAAAAAUCAAUUUGUAAUAGACAGUGCUGAGAUUUCUCUACCAAUUUAGAUUCUACUGGUUGCAGGGCUAUGAAGCUGUGAAUUAACUGACAAGGGACAGGCUAAUAGAAAAAAAAAAUAUUACAGAUGCAGGAGUACCCAGAAGAGUUUUGGUUAAGGUUUGUAUGCCAGGCUGCAGAAGGGAAAGAGGUAAGGGCCAUAUAAGGCUCUGAUGAGGGAUUCACACAAUGCUUUUUGUUACUGUUCAGAUGACUAUGGUCAGCAUCUCGGAGGUGUUUUGGUGGCAUAUGGCUCUUCAUCCUUAUCUAAUGAAGGAAGCUGAGGUAGAGUUCAUUUCUCUCCACCUCAGAUGUCUUCACUUUGAAGUCAUCUCUAUACUAGUUUGAUGGUUUGCUGGCCCCUUUGGAAUGGCUGUGAAAGAAGAAGACAAAGUGCUGUAGGAAGGCCUCAGAGGGGAACAGAGCGGGCUAUCCUGACCAGGGACACUGAGCCUGAAGCAUGAGUGACCAAGAGGCAUCCUGGAAAUAAUGUUGGGCAAGCAUGGCACAGAGUUCAUAGAAGUAUGAUUUUCGUGGCAAUCUCAAUGUCAGAGCAUAGUCUAACAAGACCCUGGCGUCUCUCAAUCUAUCAGCCUAUUUCUCUAGGAAUUUCUCUAGGGGUCUGAUUCUGGGAGGAGAAAGCCCCAUCUAUAGAAUAGUUCAUCUCCAAGAACAAGAUCUCAUUCAGUUCUACCUUGUCAGAGCCCCUCACAGAUUGAAACUGAAGCCCAGACAAUGGUGGGACAAUAGAGGACAGGACCACAACCUGACUAGGACGGCUUAUAUACACAGCCUUAGUCCUCUUAGAUAGACACAUCCUUGGUCCUCUAUUCAAAUUGUGAUCUUACUUCAAGACCCCAUAGAUGGGUGACUGUAUCUUCUUUGCCCAUCUUCCAAAUAUGGCUACAUUAAAUUAAUCUCAUCUUCUGAUUUCUACUAUUAAUUUUGACUUUUUGAGGUAGACUGUGAUGCCAAGUUGAGUAACAAAAAUAGCACAUCUCAAAGGUCUACAAAACCACUAGUGUGUUGGAUAGAGUUGAGUUGAUGUGUUGAUCUCAACACGUAGAGCUUCUUACCCUCAGAACUGUGCUGCUACCAUGAUUAAGACCCUACAUGAUGGGUCACUACUAAAUUUCACAUAAGCAACCUUGCUAAUGAAAAUGUAGAAGAACUGAUUUCUCAGUGGGUUUGUGGGGAAGCCUCUACAGCAGGAGUACACUAAUCACACACAUUUAUUUAAUUAGUACUUCAUGGCACAGGAGGCUUUAGAAACGAAACAGGAAAAUGGCUGUGUUUCCUGCUAAGUCUGACGAAGAAGCAGUUGCACUGAGGUAUCAUUAAACCAAGAGGGACUCAGAAGGUUUGCAAGUGUGCCCUGAGGAGAGAGAGGUUUAUGAUUCCCAGGGAGGUCAGAAACGCCCUUUUCAUGUUUUAGAGUGGGGCGGAAGGGCAGGGGAAGAUUGAGGAUGCCCAGUAUCUCCUCAAUGCCAAAGUGUUAGACCAUGGGGCUCACUAUCUGAACCUAUCAGAUUCAACCCCACAAAACUCUGCUGUUGACAGCUAUCUUGGUGGCCAUUUUUCAUCCGUGUUCAUCUGUGUUAGAUCAUGGUAGGAGAAAUAGUUCAAGGACACUCAGUCUUCCAGGGAUUUAAGGAGUUACUGAUUGUUUUAUCAAAAAAAUCUAACUUUAAAUUACUUAUUCAAAUAGAGAUAUGCAGUCUCUGCCACAUUAUUCUGUACAAAAAGCCUAUUCAUUGAUUGAUCAAGAUUCUCUCCUUUGAUCAAGUCUCUCAGCCCCCAGAUCUCCACGACCCAACUCAGUCUUCUACCUUUGUCCUUGAAGAGCCCAGUUCUAGGGAGGGUCCCACGUAUGCAGUUUAGCCAGAAUUCAUCCCCACCCCAAUAAUGAAUCAAGCUGUGCAUUCCCUGCUGCCAGCUUUCCAUAUGUGACCAUUCUGGCCUGCUUUCAAUGUAAGGUCCAGUUAGCAAAGAAUUCGUCCAGCCUCUUAGUAAUUUUCCAACCACUCAUUCUCAUUUUUGUUUGUCUGUGGUGAGUUAACCCUCAUCUACUUAUUUACUGCAAAGACUACAUUAGAAAUAGCUCCCAAACUUAGCAAAGUAGGCCCGAUAAAGCAUGCCACACUGUUUUAAUGUGUCAGGGUGAUUUUAUUUAAAACAGAACACAUUUUGGUAGAGAUUCUUAACAAUCCUAUGGGGCCACAGGCUGUGCCCCGAGCUAGAUUCAGUCACUCAUCCUAAGUAAACGAAUCAAAGGAGCCAAAUUAUUGUGGAAAGCAGAAAAGGGAGAUUCAUUCAAUGUGACCAUGUUAGAAAGAGGAACAAAGAGAUCCAAAGAGCCCCCCAAGUCAGUCUUUGGGGCUCAGGAGUGACAUUAAAGUUUAAACAGAGGGCCAAAGAUAUAUAUGUAUUUAAGCAGUCUCAGGGAAAGUGUGGCCCCUCCCAUACUGAUCCAUCGUUGUCUGGGCCAUGGGUUUAACCCUAAGGUGGUCUGACACAUUGUUAGAGCUACUUGAAGUCUCUUUCUAAGAGAUAGCUUCCCCUUCUUACCAAUGCUGUUUCUUUCUCCUACCAAGAGGUUCUUUGGGGGCGGGGGAAAUUUCCAUUUCUUUGGGUCUAUUGUUUCAAGAGUCUGCUAGUCGUACUGAGAGAGUCAAGUGUCUAUUUAGAAUACUGUCCUUUCUGUCAGGCCUGUUACAUUUCCCCACAUUCUGUUUUCACACCAUAACCUUGAACUUGAAACAUGCUGGUGUCUGAAACAAGUAUAAUAGACAAGAUGAAAGUUUGGAGCCAAGGUGAAGACACAUUUUUACUUAAUGCCAGGCAGCCAUGUAUAAGAACCAUUAUUUAUUUAUUUAUUUAUUUAUUUAUUUAUUUAUUUAUAUGAGCGUUGACUCUGCCCCAUGCCAGCUGCAGUACUUGGGGGCACACUACCCAGGAAGCACAGUAGUGCUGGCCCUGGAUGCAUGAAUUGAGGGUGAGCCAGCAAGAGGGUGUAAGUGUGGGAGAGCUGGCCCAGCCACUCAUGUGGUAGCAUGAAUGAGGGAAAGAUGCCUACCUCACCCCCCUCACCACCUGCAGCAGGUGGAAGAACUGGCCCUGGGGUCAUGAGAGCAAGAGAGCUGUCUCUGCCCCUCAGUGUCUGCAGCACAUAGGACAGUGGGUGCUGUACCUCACCUGAGCAGCACAGUGUAGCUGACCCUGGUGUCAGGGGUGUGUGGGGGUCAGCCCCAAGGGCGGGAGCAUGGGAGAGCUGGCCCUGCAACUUGGAUGCUGUGCAGAGGCGAGAGAGAGAGAGAGAGAGAGAGAGAGAGAGAGAGAGAGAGAGAGAGAGCUCAUACUGCUCCUAACCCCCACCCCACCCCUAUCCCACUACAUCUAUGGCCAGGGUCAUGAGAGUGGGAGAACUGGUCCUAUCUCUCAUUGGCUGCAACACUUGGGAGAGGGGUCCUACACCUCACCUGUGCAACAAAGUAGAGCUGGCCCUGGUUGUAGAGGUUGGUGUGAAUCAGCUCGGAGGGCCUGAGAUGGGGAGAGCCCCAUCCAUAGCCCCUGCCCCUUGCUCGCUGCAGCAUUGGAUGACCUAGCCGAGGCUAGGAGAGCCCAUUCUCACCAGAAUGAAUAUGGGCGAGCUGGCAGGCUCAGUAGCUCAGAUGCUUCUCAGACCCAGAUCCAGGGUUGAGUUGGCCCCUACCUCAACAUCUACCCCAUCAAUAAACUGCUGGGGCAUGGGAAGGGGUUGGCCCUACAGAUCCAAAACUAUAGGAUCCCCAUGACAUAGGACAACAACAAGAUAUCCAAGAGGAGUCCCGAUGAGUCCCAAAAUUGAUAGUGUAGCAGAAGCCUGAGGCCUUGAAACAAACCAGUGACUCAUUGAAACUGACAUUUGCAAGCAAAGAAGUGUGGACAAAGAGUACACUGUGGGACACACUAUAGCUUCCACAAUGAUAUUUUUAUUUUAUUUUUGGGAGGGAGGAAGUUCUAAGAGUGGGGGGCAGGUAUGAGGAGCUGGGGAGAUGAAAGGGAUUGGAGUAAAAGGUGUGAAAUUCACAAAUAACCAAUAAAAAGUAAAAAGCAAAAUAGAAUAAAAUAAAAUGCUGUUUAUAGCCUACAGGAAGUCAUCAUAAUUUAUUGGGCAGAGAUUUCCCUAUCAAUUACCAUACAUAAAAUAAUGGCAUAUUAUCGGCACAUUACUAAUGAUGUCUUAAAUCCAGCAAAAUGUGGUAUUUAAAUUUUUGAUUCUAGA
rnacentral:lncRNA from 1 species